GAUUAGGAUGAUGGCUUCCAUGGUGAAUGCGACGAAGUUGAAGAUGCAAAGAGUGCCCCUUUAAAGAAGAUGAAGAAAGUAAAGAAUAUUUGACUUGAAGGAAAUAAAUAGGCUUUUCAGAGAAAUAAAUGUUCAGCGACAUUUUACGACGUCCGAUGGCAACAAUAAGGAAGUGGAGCAACCCUGAGUGAACGCGUGCCAGGGGCGUUGCUUUCACCAUUCAAGAUGGCCUUAUGCCCCAUACACGUCCUUAAGAUUUUUUUUUUCCUUCAAGAAAAGAAGGGAGAUUCACAAAAGAACAUGAAUGCAUAAAAAAAGUAUCCGAAAAAAA